UACGUAGGGUGCGAGCGUUGUCCGGAAUUAUUGGGCGUAAAGAGCUUGUAGGCGGUUUGUCGCGUCUGCCGUGAAAAUUCGAGGCUCAACCUCGAACUUGCGGUGGGUACGGGCAGACUAGAGUGUGGUAGGGGAGACUGGAAUUCCUGGUGUAGCGGUGAAAUGCGCAGAUAUCUGGAGGAACACCGGUGGCGAAGGCGGCGUCCUGGACCAAUACUGACACUGAAACGCGAAAGCCAGGGGAGCAAACGGG
rnacentral:rRNA from 1 species